rnacentral:misc_RNA from 1 species
GAUGAAGAACGUAGCGAAAUGCGAUAAGUAAUGUGAAUUGCAGAAUUCCGUGAAUCAUCGAAUCUUUGAACGCACAUUGCGCCCUCUGGUAUUCCGGGGGGCAUGCCUGUUCGAGCGUCAUUUCAACCCUCAAGCACAGCUUGGUGUUGGGACUCGCGUUAAUUCGCGUUCCCCAAAUUGAUUGGCGGUCACGUCGAGCUUCCAUAGCGUAGUAGUAAAACCCUCGUUACUGGUAAUCGUCGCGGCCACGCCGUUAAACCCCAACUUCUGAAUGUUGACCUCGGAUCAGGUAGGAAUACCCGCUGAACUUAAGCAUAUCAAUAAGCGGAGGA